AGGGUUUAGAGUUAAAGGGUGGGGUUUAGGAUUUAAGGUUUAGGGUUUAGAGUUUAGAGUUUAGGGUUUAGGGUUUAGAUUUUAGGGUUUAAGAUUUAAGGUUUAGGAUUUAGGGUUUAGGGUUUAGAGUUUAGGGUUUAAGGUUUAUGGUUUAGGGUUUAGGGUUUAUGGUUUAGGGUUUAGGGUUUAGAGCUGAGAAAUGAGGUUUUGGGGAUAAGAUUUCAAAUUUUGAAAAAUAAAAAAAUUAAAAUUUUCAAAGGAUAAACUUAGAAAUGUGCUAUUUUGGUCAUUUUAGUUUUUGAGUGCUAUUUUUGUGAUAUAAACUUAGAAAUGUGCUAUUUUGGAGAUUUGUCCAAUAAAAAAUCAAAUGCACUAAAAAAGAUACAAUGAUAAACUGUAAAGAAAUUGAUGAACAUAUUCAAACAAAGACUAGUCUUUUAUAUAUCUGAUACAUAUUGCAACAAUAAAGACACAGUAUAACAUAUAUAUUGGAUAAACACAGAUUUAAGGUUUAGGAUUUAGGGUUUAGGGUUUAGAGUUUAGGGUUUAAGGUUUAUGGUUUAGGGUUUAGGGUUUAUGGUUUAGGGUUUAGGGUUUAGAGCUGAGAAAUGAGGUUUUGGGGAUAAGAUUUCAAAUUUUGAAAAAUAAAA
rnacentral:lncRNA from 1 species